rnacentral:rRNA from 1 species
AAUGAACGUUGGCGGCAUGGAUUAGGCAUGCAAGUCGCACGAGAACCCAAUUAGCUUGCUAUGAGGGGGACAGUGGCGAAAGGGAGAGUAACGCGUGGUUAUGUACCUUCGAGACCGGGAUAGUGUCGGGAAACUGGCAGUAAUACCGGAUAACAUCUUCGGAUCAAAUGGUGUGAUUCCGCUCGAAGAUCGGACCGCGUACUAUUAGCUUGUUGGUGAGGUAAUGGCUCACCAAGGCUGCGAUGGUUACCGGGUGUGAGAGCAUGGCCCGGCUCACUGGGACUGAGACACUGCCCAGACAUCUACGGAUGGCUGCAGUCGAGAAUCUUCGGCAAUGGACGAAAGUCUGACCGAGCGAUGCCGCGUGCGGGAUGAAGGCCCUCGGGUUGUAAACCGCUGUCAGUUGUUAGGAAAUCUAUAGGGGUUCUCUCCUAUGGUUGACCGAUCUUCAGAGGAAGGACGGGCUAAGUUCGUGCCAGCAGCCGCGGUAAGACGAACCGUCCAAACGUUAUUCGGUAUCACUGGGCUUAAAGCGUGCGUAGGCGGCUUGGUAGGUGAGAUGUGAAAGCCCACGGCUCAACCGUGGAAUUGCGUUUCAAACCCCCAAGCUCGAGGAAGAUAGGGGUGAUGGGAACUUAUGGUGGAGCGGUGAAAUGCGUUGAUAUCAUAGGGAACACCGGUGGCGAAAGCGCAUCACUGGAUCUUUUCUGACGCUGAGGCACGAAAGCUAGGGUAGCGAACGGGAUUAGAUACCCCGGUAGUCCUAGCCGUAAACGAUGAACACUGGGUUGGGGGGACUU